UACGAACUGUGCGAACGUUAUUCGGAAUCACUGGGCUUACAGGGUGCGUAGGCGGCGCGGUAAGUCGGGUGUGAAAUCUCGGAGCUUAACUCCGAAACUGCAUUCGAUACUGCCGUGCUUGAGGACUGGAGAGGAGACUGGAAUUUACGGUGUAGCGGUGAAAUGCGUAGAUAUCGUAAGGAAGACCAGUGGCGAAGGCGGGUCUCUGGACAGUUCCUGACGCUGAGGCGCGAAAGCUAGGGGAGCGAACAGG
rnacentral:rRNA from 1 species